GGCCAGGUAGCACAGCGGUUAGCGCGCAGAUGCUUGAUUCGAGGUCAAAGCUCCCCUCGUUCGACCCGGGGUCUGGCCU